ACCUGUGUAGCUCAGUCAGUUGAGCGCCUGACUUUGGCUCAGGUCAUGAUCUCGCAGUGUGUGAGUUUGAGCCCCACAUCAGGCU
rnacentral:tRNA from 1 species